rnacentral:rRNA from 1 species
GUGGGGAAUUUUGGACAAUGGGCGCAAGCCUGAUCCAGCAAUGCCGCGUGCAGGAAGAAGGCCUUCGGGUUGUAAACUGCUUUUGUACGGAACGAAACGGUCCGGGUUAAUACCCUGGGCUAAUGACGGUACCGUAAGAAUAAGCACCGGCUAACUACGUGCCAGCAGCCGCGGUAAUACGUAGGGUGCAAGCGUUAAUCGGAAUUACUGGGCGUAAAGCGUGCGCAGGCGGUUUUGUAAGACAGGCGUGAAAACCCCGGGCUCAACCUGGGAAUUGCGCUUGUGACUGCAAGGCUGGAGUGCGGCAGAGGGGGAUGGAAUUCCGCGUGUAGCAGUGAAAUGCGUAGAUAUGCGGAGGAACACCGAUGGCGAAGGCAAUCCCCUGGGCCUGCACUGACGCUCAUGCACGAAAGCGUGGGGAGCAAACAGGAUUAGAUACCCCAGUAGUCC